AUACAUAUACACAUAUAUAUAGA
rnacentral:snRNA from 1 species